GCAGCCGUACUUUAUGGUGCUGAGGCCUGACUCGCUGCGUCAGCCCGCAGUCGCCGUGGUUGCGGAUGCGCUCCGGGUGCGUGCGGCUGCG
rnacentral:tRNA from 1 species